CGAGUGAAGCGGGAACAGCUCAAAUUUGAAAUCUGGCCCUUGGGUCCGAGUUGUAAUUUGCAGAGGAUGCUUUUGGUGCGGUGCCUUCCGAGUUCCCUGGAACGGGACGCCUUAGAGGGUGAGAGCCCCGUACGGUUGGCCACCAAGCCUGUGUAAAGCUCCUUCGACGAGUCGAGUAGUUUGGGAAUGCUGCUCAAAAUGGGAGGUAUAUUUCUUCUAAAGCUAAAUACUGGCCAGAGACCGAUAGCGCACAAGUAGAGUGAUCGAAAGAUGAAAAGCACUUUGAAAAGAGGGUUAAAUAGCACGUGAAAUUGUUGAAAGGGAAGGAUUUAUGACCAGACUUUUUCUAGGGGGAUCAUCCGGUGUUCUCACCGGUGCACUUCCCCUAGUUGAGGCCAGCAUCGGUUUCUGUCGGGGGAUAAAAGCUUCAGGAAUGUGGCUCCCUCCGGGGAGUGUUAUAGCCUGUUGCAUAAUACCCUGACGGGGACCGAGGUUCGCGCAUUGCAAGGAUGCUGGCGUAAUGGUUAUUAAUCACCCGUCUUGAAACACGGACCAAGGAGUCGAACAUUUGUGCGAGUGUUUGGGUGUUAAACCCUCACGCGUAAUGAAAGUGAACGGAGGUGAGAGCCCUUCGGGGUGCAUCAUCGACCGAUCCUGAUGUCUUCGGAUGGAUUUGAGUAAGAGCAUAACUGUUCGGACCCGAAAGAUGGUGAACUAUGCGUGGAUAGGGUGAAGCCAGAGGAAACUCUGGUGGAGGCUCGCAGCGGUUCUGACGUGCAAAUCGAUCGUCAAAUCUGCGCAUGGGGGCGAAAGACUAAUCGAACC
rnacentral:rRNA from 2 species